AGGGCGUAGCUCAGUUGGUAGAGCACCGGUCUCCAAAACCGGUGUCGCGAGUUCAGUCUCUCCGCCCCUGCCA
rnacentral:tRNA from 1 species